rnacentral:rRNA from 1 species
UACGGAGGGAGCAAGCGUUGUUCGGAUUUACUGGGCGUAAAGGGUCCGUAGGUGGUUGUGUAAGUCUGGUGUGAAAUCUUCGCCGCUUAACGGGAAGAAGCCACUGGAAACUGCGCAACUUGAGUAUGGUAGAGGCAAGCGGAAUUCCUGGUGUAGCGGUGGAAUGUGUAGAUAUCAGGAAGAACAUCUGUGGCGAAGGCGGCUUGCUGGGCCAUCACUGACACUGAGGGACGAAAGCGUGGGGAGCAAACGGG